rnacentral:lncRNA from 1 species
GGAAGGUUGAGCUGCUGUUUAUCUGUUCCUAGAGAUGCUAGAAUUCUGGAGAAUUUUACCUUUGAAAAUCUUUAAAAUGUUGCAUGAUGAGUUCCUGUAUGAUGAGAGCUUAAAUUCCUACCACAGCCAUAUAUACAUGCUUGUUAGACUUUGAGCCACACAUUUACUAUUUACUACUUAUGAGCAUUGAGUGUGGUCAAGCUGUGUAGACCCUUAGGAGCUUGUCAUGUGGUUAAAUCAAGAUUUCACUUGCACGUUCACUCAUAUAUGCUACUUCUACUCCGGAAGUACCAUCCACAUAUAUCCACCCAUUCCAUCUCCAGAACCACCCAAAAAUAUUCUACUCCUAAUCUGGGAGAGAAUAACCAAAAAUAUUUCUGUUUUCUCCUUGUGAAAUAAAUGCUCAAGUUAUCUUGUUACUACCACUUGCUAUAUUAUCUCAAGAGAUGAAUGCUCUGAAAAAAAAAGAGAGAAGAAAUACGAGGAAAUAAAAAGGAGCAAGUGCUCGGAACCUCGAAAGAAAAGAAAAAGUGAGAUGAGAGGUAAAAAUGGACAAGUGUCCGACAGUAGAAUUAGGGGUGCAAGAUACCCACCUGAGAGAAAAGAAAAAGAAGAGCAUCUCAUUCUUCUCAUAAAUUCAAAAAGCAAGGAAGGUAUGUAUCCCCUCAAAGAGCAAAAGUAGAAUUAGACUUCCACCACCAUUGUUUUCACCAUUGUUAUCACUAUCAUCACCAUACAUCAUUCAUCCGCCACACAUGCACAUCUUGAUUUGGCUUAUUGAUUUGUUACUUUGGAUCCAUGGUUUGACUAUACAAUACAUGUCUUGUAAGUAUGUAUACUUUAUCUCCCACCUAUGAGCUCCAGAUAUUAAAGCCUUAUUAGAGUAGGGUGAGAGAGAAGGCAAUGUCACUAUGCCUCAUACCACAAAUACCACAUAUAUUGAGAGAAGGCAUAUACCAUCACUGCCUUGGUAAGGAUCCAGAAAUACCACAAAAGAGAGACCUGAGAGAAUCAUACAAGGAAUUUCUGAGUUUUAUUUGAAAAUCUGCAAAAACCCCAG